rnacentral:rRNA from 1 species
GACGAACGCUGGCGGCGUGCCUAACACAUGCAAGUCGAACGAAGUGGCGAACGGGUGAGUAACGCGUAAUCAACCUGCCCUUCAGAGGGGGACAACAGUUGGAAACGACUGCUAAUACCGCAUCCUGAAGCAGGGGAUUGCGUGUGUUUAGCUAGUAGGAGGGGUAACGGCCCACCAAGGCGAUGAUCAGUAGCCGGUCUGAGAGGAUGAACGGCCACAUUGGGACUGAGACACGGCCCAGACUCCUACGGGAGGCAGCAGUAGGGAAUCUUCGGCAAUGGGCGAAAGUCUGACCGAGCAACGCCGCGUGAAUGAAGAAGGUUUUCGGAUCGUAAAGCUCUGUUAUUAGAGAAGCGGUAUCUAACCAGAAAGCCACGGCUAACUACGUGCCAGCAGCCGCGGUAAUUC